CCGUAUACGACGCCAAAGCUUUUUCUAUGUGCUCUGAAACGAAAACGAUGGAGUGUCGAGGUAUUUCGCUGACUCACAUGGAUAUGACAAAUCUGUUUCUUUAUCUUCUCUUGCGUCGCUCUGUGUUCUCUUCUAAUUUAUUGAAACGCUCAGAGUUAAAGAUCUAUCUCGCCUUUAUCGUUUUCUUAACUCCAAAGACCGACGUGAAGCACAAUCUGACAUUGAAUGCGGGUUUACCCCUUGCAAGUCGGUGUAUCUACACCUAUAUAAAGAAGUCCGGACGCUGCUCCUCCAAGUCGGGUUACUCAGCUGACGUGUAGUUGAUUGAGGCAAUAUCUGAAAGAGAACAUAGCCUUGGAGAUCUUAGCAUCGGAAUGGCAUCGGUUCGCUACUUAGCCGAGCUUGGAAGAGAAUCGUCGCUUUAUUGAAGAAGCCAAUUAACUUACCUGAUUUACAUGUGAUGCGUUCUCUCAAGUGAUAGUAGAUGAGGACGUCAUGUGAUGCAGGACAAGGUCUCACUAAUGAACAGACAAGAAACAACAUGGAGAGUAAUCAUGAAGUCUAUGCUAUGUUACAAGAAAAUCACUGUCUCCUAGGAAUGGUGUAGCUGGCUGCUGCUAAGAUUUUUACUCAGUUCUCAUCUUGGUUAUCAUCUUCUUCCUGCCACUCACAAACACGUUUGAAUUCUUGGACAUGGUGGUGAUACACGAGGUAUUGUUGUGGGAACAAGAAAAGACUGAAUCGAGUGGACAAGGAAAAAAACAAUGUCCAUCAACUCCCUGUCGGGAGCAAAAAGGCCUGGUGUUUUGGCUGGUUAAGCUACUGCGACCAUAGUGACUGAUGUGCUUUCUUUUACUAGAAAACUUAUAUUUAUACAUCUGCAGACGAAGUCAUCAAAUUCUCUUAUGGACAACUACCAGAAAAAUGGGGGCUUCCUUGGUUUCAAGCAAAACGGGUUAAUAGAAAAAGUGAUACUCAUGUGUUCAAAAGAAAAAACUGACAUUCAAUUAUUCUAAUUUAUGUUUAUAGAUUAAGAAAUUAAGAAUUAUAAGUUCAAUCUAUAUAUUGUUUACAGUUGUGCUUUCCUAAAGGGAAAAUUGGUCUUAGGCAUUUUUUUGUAUG